GACGUAGGGGGCAAGCGUUGUCCGGAAUUACUGGGCGUAAAGGGUGUGUAGGCUGUCUGUUAAGUCAGUGGUGAAAGCUCCGGGCUCAACUCGGAAACGGCCACCGAUACUAACGGACUAGAGGACAGUAGAGGAGGUUGGAACUUUCGGUGUAGCGGUAGAAUGCGUAGAUAUCGAAAGGAACGCCGAUAGCGAAGGCAAACCUCUGGGAUGUCCCUGACGCUGAAACACGAAAGCUGGGGGAGCAAACAGG
rnacentral:rRNA from 1 species